rnacentral:rRNA from 1 species
GGACAUACCAAAAAUAUUUUUUCUCCCAGAAAUGUUUUUGAUAAACAGUCAAAAAUUAAAUUUGCCGAAUUCUUAAUUAUUAUUUUUUUUAAUUUACUAAUUUAAUCAUAAUUAUUUCAAUUUUAUUAUUCAAUUAAACAACUUUACCUCCCCUUAAAGCUAUCUAAUAAAAUAUUAAAUUAAUUUAAUUAAUUACUACAAAUUAAAAUGAUUACUAAUAUUAAGUAUACUACACAAAUGAAACCUUUACCUAAAAAAUUAUAUACAAGAUUAUCCCUGCACAAAUAUAAAAAUUAAACAAAAUAAAUUCAAUUGAUUAAAUCAAAAAUAAAGCAACUAGAUAUAAAAAAUCUAAAUUUAUAUCAAACCCACAUUACUUUUAACUUAUUUUUUUACACAAAUAAAAUUAAGUAAUAUAAAUAUUUUUUAUUCGAGAAAAAAUUCUAAAAUAUAUAUUUAAAUUAACCCUGAUACAAAAGGUAAAAUUAUUUAAUCUUCUAUUCUUUUAUACUUCUACCCUUACAGUUAACAAAAAAAAUUAUUUCACUAAUCCAUUAAUUUAAAUUAAAUAAAA